rnacentral:rRNA from 1 species
AGAGUUUGAUCCUGGCUCAGGAUGAACGCCGGCGGUGUGCCUAAUACAUGCAAGUCGUACGCACUGGCCCAACUGAUUGAUGGUGCUUGCACCUGAUUGACGAUGGAUCACCAGUGAGUGGCGGACGGGUGAGUAACACGUAGGUAACCUGCCUCGGAGCGGGGGAUAACAUUUGGAAACAGAUGCUAAUACCGCAUAACAACAAAAGCCACAUGGCUUUUGUUUGAAAGAUGGCUUUGGCUAUCACUCUGGGAUGGACCUGCGGUGCAUUAGCUAGUUGGUAAGGUAACGGCUUACCAAGGCAAUGAUGCAUAGCCGAGUUGAGAGACUGAUCGGCCACAAUGGAACUGAGACACGGUCCAUACUCCUACGGGAGGCAGCAGUAGGGAAUCUUCCACAAUGGGCGCAAGCCUGAUGGAGCAACACCGCGUGAGUGAAGAAGGGUUUCGGCUCGUAAAGCUCUGUUGUUGGAGAAGAACGUGCGUGAGAGUAACUGUUCACGCAGUGUCGGUAUCCAACCAGAAAGUCACGGCUAACUACGUGCCAGCAGCCGCGGUAAUACGUAGGUGGCAAGCGUUAUCCGGAUUUAUUGGGCGUAAAGCGAGCGCAGGCGGUUGCUUAGGUCUGAUGUGAAAGCCUUCGGCUUAACCGAAGAAGUGCAUCGGAAACCGGGCGACUUGAGUGCAGAAGAGGACAGUGGAACUCCAUGUGUAGCGGUGGAAUGCGUAGAUAUAUGGAAGAACACCAGUGGCGAAGGCGGCUGUCUGGUCUGCAACUGACGCUGAGGCUCGAAAGCAUGGGUAGCGAACAGGAUUAGAUACCCUGGUAGUCCAUGCCGUAAACGAUGAGUGCUAGGUGUUGGAGGGUUUCCGCCCUUCAGUGCCGGAGCUAACGCAUUAAGCACUCCGCCUGGGGAGUACGACCGCAAGGUUGAAACUCAAAGGAAUUGACGGGGGCCCGCACAAGCGGUGGAGCAUGUGGUUUAAUUCGAAGCUACGCGAAGAACCUUACCAGGUCUUGACAUCUUGCGCUAACCUUAGAGAUAAGGCGUUCCCUUCGGGGACGCAAUGACAGGUGGUGCAUGGUCGUCGUCAGCUCGUGUCGUGAGAUGUUGGGUUAAGUCCCGCAACGAGCGCAACCCUUGUUACUAGUUGCCAGCAUUAAGUUGGGCACUCUAGUGAGACUGCCGGUGACAAACCGGAGGAAGGUGGGGACGACGUCAGAUCAUCAUGCCCCUUAUGACCUGGGCUACACACGUGCUACAAUGGACGGUACAACGAGUCGCAAGCUCGCGAGAGUAAGCUAAUCUCUUAAAGCCGUUCUCAGUUCGGACUGUAGGCUGCAACUCGCCUACACGAAGUCGGAAUCGCUAGUAAUCGCGGAUCAGCAUGCCGCGGUGAAUACGUUCCCGGGCCUUGCACACACCGCCCGUCA